rnacentral:lncRNA from 1 species
UGUGCUCUACUAGGUCAAAGCUACCAUCGAAGGCUUCUAGUGAUGGAAGAUAAAAAUUAUUGGGAUUAACUCAUUUUCGAUGCUCUAGAUAAAAUGAGGAGUGGCCCAAGGUGGGGUCAUCCGCCUCUUCCCUUCAAAACCACUAGAACUCCUAGUGCAUCUUGUUUAGGCGCUGAUCUAUCUGUUUUAGUUGGACUCUCGAGGAGUCAUCCAUUGAAUAUUUUGAUUGGGUCUUCGAUUCAAGUAAGGUCGGGCUUUGGUGCAAUAGCACACUAAAU